rnacentral:rRNA from 1 species
GACGAACGCUGGCGGCGUGCCUAAUACAUGCAAGUAGAACGCUGAAGGAGGAGCUUGCUUCUCCGGAUGAGUUGCGAACGGGUGAGUAACGCGUAGGUAACCUGCCUGGUAGCGGGGGAUAACUAUUGGAAACGAUAGCUAAUACCGCAUAACAGUAGAUAUUGCAUGAUAUCUGCUUGAAAGGUGCAAUUGCAUCACUACCAGAUGGACCUGCGUUGUAUUAGCUAGUUGGUGGGGUAACGGCUCACCAAGGCGACGAUACAUAGCCGACCUGAGAGGGUGAUCGGCCACACUGGGACGGAGACACGGCCCAGACUCCUACGGGAGGCAGCAGUAGGGAAUCUUCGGCAAUGGACGGAAGUCUGACCGAGCAACGCCGCGUGAGUGAAGAAGGUUUUCGGAUCGUAAAGCUCUGUUGUAAGAGAAGAACGAGUGUGAGAGUGGAAAGUUCACACUGUGACGGUAUCUUACCAGAAAGGGACGGCUAACUACGUG